UUUUGGUUCAUUUCUUCUCCAAUUCUCUUUUUUUUGGUCUUAUCUUUUACUUCUCAUUUAUCUUUUUCUUUCGAUAUUUUUUGAUAUUACUUAUCUUCUUCACUAUCAAUUCCCAUUUUCGGACUUCUCUUCUUCGUUCUCACUUUCCGUCACCGGAUGAGUUUGGAUUCGGAUGUUCUGUGAUGAAUUUAAAACCCUAUUUUGCUUAAUUUUCAUGAAGAUGGCGAUGCUUAAUUCUUUUACAGGUGAGUUUUAGUUCUUUACCGCUCGGGUCUAUUUAGUGUAAAAUUCAACUCUAAUUGCUGAGAUUCUGACGAUGUGCUCGGCCGGGAUGGUUCUUCUCUUCGAUUGUCAUUCGAUCGUGAAUGUAAAUCGACCAAAAUCGACCUACUCGAAGUUCUUCCGCUGUAAACCCAGUUUUGUUUUCAAAUUGUAUAUUUGUUAAUUCUUCUAUAAUUAUAUUUUUGAAUAUGAAAAUGAAUUUUGUUAUUGAUUGAUUAAUUGAUUGAGUAGUUUUGUAGAAGUCCCGUCGUUGUGCUGACUCCGGCGUUAUUUAUGGCGCCCGACAUAAGAAUUGGUACAAGAAAUUUUGGAGUUUUAGUUCUUAGGAAUCUGUUCUAAACCCAGUCGUGAAAAUACUUCAUGUUUUUCUCUUUUUCUUAUUGAUAUUCACCAUUAAAUAUUGUUUUAUUUUUUCAGGUGAGGCGGCGGUCCACGAGUACCACGGCAUAGGGAAGCCUGUGUGCAUAUCUUUAGCAAAUAAUGGCAUAUGCAGUGCUCAUAAAAACCCUCCUUUGUGAAAGAUUAUUACCACUAGAGAGAAAGCUAAUACUUGAUUUGUUGUUAUCUAGCGGGAUGUACGAGUAGAACCAAGCAUUGCAGGAGCUAUCGACUAAGGUGUUUCAACCCAUAUGGAGGAAUGCAAAAACAGUCUUGAAGAUCCUCAACAUUCUAGAGAUUCUGGAAAUCAUCAGUUUUGUCCAUUCGUUGGUAUGAAUGUAUGACGGAAGCACCUGUAACUAUAGGGGUUUUGAGGCCAUGAAAUUAAGUCACUGAAUUAGCAAGCGGUCAUAUAAUUCCAAGGGUUGGAUUUUAAACUCAUUCGUAGUGUACUAUUGGAGUAAUGGCGCAGGACAUCUCUCCUACUCCGUCAAUGGACACCGGAGCCGGGCUUGCAUUGCCGGUUUCCGUUCAUUUUAUAUGUUUUCCGAUGAUCACAUCUCUUUUUGCAAUUUUCUGGACCUAAAUAGUAGAGCUUAUGGGUUGAAAGGUACAAAUUGUUAUAUUUCAUUUUUGGGGUGUAUUAAAAGGGCUUUUAAUAUAAAAAAAAUGGUAUUUUUGUGAUUGGUGAGUUUUUGGUUUGUAUAUGUAUAAUAUUUGAAUUUGUUUUCUCUAUGGAUUUUAUUAUUUAUGAGUAUAAUUUUUGUGGUUGAUUAUUAUUAUUAUUAUUAUUAUUAAUAAUAAAGUGAAAUUUUUUGUAUGUUUUACUAUAUAUUAAACAAAAUGAGAAUAGUUUUCUUUUCUAA